rnacentral:lncRNA from 1 species
GUACCAUUCAUUGGCUAUUUUAGCAGUCUGGCUAUUUAACACACAGGAGGUUGGUGGCUCCUUAAUUGGUUAGCACGGGCUCAUGGCAAUGGCUGGAGUGGAAUUAGUGGAAUGGUAUCAAAUACAUCAAACACAUGGAUUCCAGGUGUUUGAUGUCAUUCCAUUCACUUCGUUCCAGACAUUAUUAUGAGCUGUACUCCCCUAAGCAGACUCCUGUUUUUUUAGCAGUCUUAUGGCUUGGGGGUAGAAGCUUUCUCGAAGCCUGAUGGUUCGAGAACCGAUGCUCCGGUACCAUUUGCCAGACGGUAGCAGAGUGAAGAGUCUGGCUUGAGUGGCUGGAGUCUUUGGCAAUUUUUGGAGCAUUCCUCUGAUUAGCUAUUAGAUUGUAAAUGACUCGUAAGCACAUACUGUAUGUAGUAAGUGCUUUGUGCAGACAAAAUAUAAAUGUCAAACUAAGAUUUUGACAGGCUUAGUAUUGUGUAAAAAUGUGUUCUUAUUAUAAGUAUAUGACAUAACAGGACACAGGAUAUUAUGACAAGUGCAAGACUAACCUUUCGAACGUUUUCUUCACUGCCUUGGCUGUUGUCUCUUGUAUCCCCAAUAGCAUUGGAGUCAGUCUGUUGAAACAAACCAGCACAAGAUACAGUAAAUGCAACCAUCGUCAUUUUCCUGACAUAUUGUAAAUUGAUUGCAUCUUUCAAAUUUUAUUGUUUUAAUAUGCACUCUGUGAAAUUAUGUAAAUCUGAGGCUCUUUACCCUGUCCUCCAGUGAUUGGCUCACACUCUCCAAAGAAUGGCUCUCGGAAGACUGUGUGAAGGGGAACAGAUUACAACAAAAUGGACCAAGGAGUUCCACCAGAAUCAGAUGUUUGUAGCUGUAAACCCAACUCUGCCAAUGGUCCGUGGACUGUGUACAGUAGUAGUUUGGAACGCCAGGCACUACUAUCCCACUGGAUGUUGAGAAAAUAAGAGCGGGAUUAAGUGGAUGUGGUGAGUUGAGGAGACAGACAGGGCUAUAUACUAACCAGAACCCUCAAUUAACAUGAUCGCCUCACUUCCUCCCAGCCAACUCAGCUUCACCACACUUUUUGUGAAAGUGUAUGGGUGCCGGAUACCGAACGCACACACA